CUUUCGGUUUUUCUGUGGUUUGUUCUUUUUUCCCUUGCUUGAGAGAGCGGGAAGAGGGAGGAGACAGCUUGGACUCAGCAAGAGAGCCAGACCAAACUUAGUACCCUCAUCAUCAGUUUGUGACAGUCCUGACUGUUAGCCAAGCUUUUGCAUGUACGUGAUCCUAAAUUCCCUCAACUGGUACAUCAAACUCAGUGUAGUUACAAUGACCUAUAUUUAAUGCAGAGUUUCUCCAAGAAAGUAGUACCUUGCAUCAUCCCUGAAACAUGACAGUGCUUCUCAGUGGGAACGACUUCAAAUAAUGAAGAAAGAAUAACUGCAACUUUUGAAAAAUCCAUAUUAUGGUUUAAAUAACAGUUAUUCAUACUUAAGAUGCUUCCUUAACACUCUUUGCUGCUGUUCUCACCAGUACCUCAGUAAUCUUUCUUGGGAUCAGACCUGUAGAAUUUAGCCAUAUAGUGAUGCUGCUACUAGAAAUAAUCACUUAUCAGCCCAUCUGGAACAGUACUCAAACACAGAAUAAGAUAAUAUCUGUAUCUGAAAUAUUCAAUUCCAAAGACACUUUGAAUUCAAGUGGAAACAGCUGCAUAGCCAGAAACAUCCAAGUACACUGACUAAAUACUAAUUGUGUACUGGAAGCAUACCGGUUUCAGUGAGAAUAACAUGAAUGCAAUUCAUUAAUAUUCAUGAUUACCACAUGUAUUAUUAGUAUAAUUAACCUCAUUCAUAUAUCCAUAGGCAUGGAUUUGGAUAGGUGGACUACCCAUUCUUAUGGUGAAUGCAAAAUCAGCUGGACAGCUGGGUUUGCAGUGUUGUGAUGACUGAUAAAAACCUUGGCCACUGGCUGGAUACUAGUGGCAUCUCCACACAUAAAACUGGGGUCAGUUGUUUAACAACAUUAAUGUCUGGAGGAGGUGAUGGAGUCAGUCCAUCAUCAGCAACAGUAUCAGUUUAGGGGGAAAGGUCAGCAAGACAGCUGUUAGUACUGCUAUUCAGCAGAACCUGACUGGCCAGAGAAAGAGGCUGAUAAUAAACUCGUGGUGUGCAAGAUAAAUGCCAAGUCCUAUCUCUGGCAUAUAAUAGCCUCUUGCCUCAGUGGAGCCGGUGAUCAGUUGAUUCCAAGGCAGCUUUGCAGAAAAGGAGUUGGGAUUCCUGGUGAACAAGGUGAAUGUGACUUAACGGGGCACCCUUGAAGGCUGUCAAAUAUUGCACAAAGUUUUCUAGAAAGGCUGCAGAUAUCUCUGUCCUUGGAGAUGUUCAAAAUUGACUCUACAGGGCCUUGAGAAACUCCAGGUCAGCGUUGCUUUGACUGGGACCUGGAUCAGAUGUUCUGCAGAGCUCCCUUACAAUUUGUAUUAUUUUGUGAUUCUAGAUUUUAGCAAUCUCUUUAUAAAAAGAUGGAAGACUACACAUUUACACUGAUUGCAAAAGUAUUAGCUCUUUUGCAUAUUACAUCAACCUAUCUCCAUCUUUUAUGAGUGAAUAGAGUUGUACUUGAGUAUUCUUUUGUAGCAUCAUAUCCUGUUCAAUUUUCACUACAGUAUAUUUGUCAUUCUUAAAGUAAAAAAUAAUUUUGCAAGUCUGACACUGCAACAAUGAAAGUACAGCAUGCUCAUAAGCCAGAUAUUUUCUAGCUAAGAAGAUAUUUGCUAGUAUCUGUUUUACACGAUUUAGUGACUACAUUCUGCAUAGACAUAGCACACCAUUCAUAGUAUAUGCUCUUUGCUCAGUAUAUUUAAUAAAUAGAUUGCCUUCUGUUCAUUUGAUAAUGCAAAUUUAAUUGUCUCAAAAAAAAAGAAUUUGUAUACUCCAAGAAAAUAUAACCUUCUAGAGUUUGACUUAGUUUAUAAAAUGGCAUUUUUUUGACAGUACCAUGCAAUUAAAGGGCACAUCACUGAGUGUACAUGGGUACCCAAAACAUGAAAAUUCCAUUGCUAAUUGGCCUGUUUUCCAGUGUACCUCUCCAUGACACUCUGCUUACCAGGUUUUUCUGAAAACUUCUUUUUAGGAUCCCAUAGAUUUUUAUUACUUGCAGACUAAACGUAUGGCUGUGCUUUAGUUAACUUGAAGCCUGCGAAGAAAAAUUAGAGACUCUACUGUGUUGUAGCGUGGAGGCAGUAAAGUUAUUUGCUAUGGAGAUAUAAUAUGUGCUUGUGUUCAUGUCACAGCAUCUGUAUAAAUAUCAAGCUUGUACUCUCCUGUAUAUUGACAAUUUUCUGGCUCUGCAGGUUAUUCCAUCGGUCACUAAGUUCUGGGUAUCAUCUUUCCUGCACUUCCUAUGGUUUCCCUUUACU